GUUCGACAAACGGGCUGUGGUGGACCGAAGACGACUGCACAAAAAUACUUUUGAAGGCGGAAACAGAUUCCUGAAACAACAAAGAGCAGUAUAAGUAACAAUCAAGUUUAAAAAGUCGAAGAAAAGAGAGUCCUGCAAGAUGGCGACAAAAAAUUAAAUAAGUUAGAGGGAGAAGGACAGUUACGAAAUUCGAACUCCCGAGCUGUACACGUGUUGUCCUGCUUACAUGGUUUUCGCAUUGCUUGUUUUUCUGUGAUUUGACUUUAAUCUUUUCACAUGGGUAGUGCGUUUUACAAGUGCAGCGCAAGAAAAGAAUUUAAGCCAGAAGCUUAAGUAUCAGCAGAAACCGCAUAUACAUACAUAUGUACGAUUCAACCACAACAUUUUGGAAAAUUAAUUUUCAAAAGAAAUAUUUUGUAUUUAUAAAUAAAUGAAAGCAUCAUACAUAUUUUAAGUUAUUUCUAAAACAAAUGUACAUACUCUUAACAAGUGUUAACAUAAUUGUUAAAAAAAAACAGUCUC